rnacentral:rRNA from 1 species
AGUAAUGCGUAGGAAUCUACCCAACAGUGUGGAACAACUCGGAGAAAUCCGAGCUAAUACCGCAUACGUCCUAUGGGAGAAAGCGGGGGACCUUCGGGCCUCGCGCUGAUGGAUGAGCCUACGUCGGAUUAGCUUGUUGGUGAGGUAAAAGCUCACCAAGGCGACGAUCCGUAGCUGGUCUGAGAGGAUGAUCAGCCACACUGGGACUGAGACACGGCCCAG